rnacentral:tRNA from 1 species
GCCUGGAUAGCUCAGUUGGUGAGAACGUGGUCCUGAUAACGGCAAGGUUGCAGGUUUGAUCCCCGUAUGGAUA